rnacentral:lncRNA from 1 species
GUCGUGGAAGAAAAAAAGCAACGGGAAAGCAAGAGAGUAUGAAUGUGUCGUUUCUCCCCUCUCACGAGCGAUACAUAUACGACGUGUUGCCGAUGAUAUAUGAAAGAACACGUGUCACCAGGUACUCAGUACACCCACGCGAGUCGUUAUCGUUAAUUCGUUACAUUUUCAAGAGAUUUCUGAAUGAAAGUUUGGUGUUUCACUUGAUUUUAAUAUCGUGUUGAAUUCGAAUAAUACUAUACAUAUAUAUAUAUUCAUAUAUAUAUAGUAGUAAUAGAACAGGAGCUUUUUGGACAAGAAUGGAUCAGAAAAAUGAAGUCAAAGGAUACAAUGGGAAAAUUAAUCACGAAACGAAUUAAGGAAUAAACAAUAUUUGAUAUACGGUUUUGGUCCCAGCUUUCUCCCGCAACGCUUAACCGGCAUACUCUAUCGUCACUUAAAAAUAGAAAGAAAGAAGCGUUAUAUGAAUAUAGACUCCUGAGUUUUGCUUUAUCAAGAAGUCACAUGAAAAAAAAGGAAAUGACAAGGGACUGCUUUCUUGCUCGAUACUACAUAGGAAUAAAUUAACACGUUAUAAUUCUA